UCCAAGACUGGAUCGACACACCCUCCAAUGGAUGCCGCCCCAAGCACCUCACCCAACAGGACGCCGGGCCAGCCAACCUCGACAAGCCGUUGCUUGCCCCUGCCCGCCUCUGCCGUGGAAGAGAGAGAGAGAGAGAGAGAGAGAGAGAGAGAGAGAGAGAGAGAGAGAGAGAGAGAGAGAGAUGGAGGGAGGAUUCUGGUGGUGUUGCUGCUCAGAACGGCUGUAAAGGAGGAGGCUACUUUGGUUCUGACCUGCAGUGGUCGGUGUGGCACGAGAUGGGGAUUGGCUGCUGAAGCGGGGAAACAGGAAUUGUUGAAGGUUACGUGGAUGGCUUCACUAAGUAUCAAUGAUCCAACUAAGGAAAGUGUUCUUUUCAAGAGAUUUUUGUCUUUUCUAUUUAUUGGAUUAAUUAUAGUUUCAGACAAUUUGUUAUUUGCGGGGAACAUGGCAGUCUCAAAUCUACUCCUCCAGCGAUACUGUUCGGCCAACUAGGAUGAAUUUCAAGAUAUCUACAUCAUUAUCCUCAUUCAGAUGUUUGGGAAAUCGAAAUUUUGGCCAAACCUACAAGAAAGUGUGUUACUCUAAUAAGAUGAUGAAUCUCUGAUAUUGUUAGUCGUCGCUGGUCUAAAACCAUUAGUGUCCAGCGUGGCAUCAUUGGUCUUGUUGUUGGCGGUACAUGCAUGCCGUUUGCGCUGUUGGCUCUCGAGCCCGACACACAGUUGUAGCUCCUUGACUGAUCUCCAUUGAAAGUUUGAAAGCUAGGAUUGAUAUGGCUGGAAAAUUACACUGCUAAAAGUUUAUUUUUCACUGAUAGAUGUCUCUUUCUCCAGCUAUUUUGUAGGGGCUAGGUACAAGCAGACAGACUUCAUGUUCAGGAAUUUGACACACAUGAUGGAGAUUUAAUGGAUAAAGUCCAUGACUAAUUACCUACAUUAGGAAAUUCACAAAAUAGUGUGCGAAAUAUAGGCCCGUUGAGCAGAUGAAACAUUUAGACAUAUAGCAUGGUCUGCCUCCUAGCUGCAGCAUGUGUGCUCGACAAGGCACUGCUAGCAUUUGAGGCUCAUCAAUAUCUCGCACAUAUGGUAAUUUUACGUAGUUUGUUAUUGAUCUACUUCUAUCUUCCUCCACUCUUUUAUCAUAUAUCCUUCUUUUCUGUGUCAUGAUAUAUAAGAACACAACAAAGCUAUUCCGACGUACUCUGAUCGCCACCUUGCUUGGGUUAUCAUAUAGACAUGAGUAUUUAAUAGUUGUAUUUGCUGUUGCAACAUUCUUCAGUUCGAGGAACAUUCUAUAGGAAUCACCCCAAAAUCAGGCGGAAUCCGCCAUGUCUCCCUGCCUCUGACUAACUUGUGAGUUGGUGUGUUCAAAAGGAAGCUCAUGGAGGUGCAGAACCUUUGAGAUUUUUUUUACAGGAAGCACUUUUGAUCGUCAAUACGUAUUUCUAAGUUAUAUAGUGCAAACAAUUGAGUGAACUUCAACCUUUCUGUAGAACUAAAUGUUGUUCUUGCUGUAACAUCAUGUAGUUUCUGAUGCUUCAUGGCAUUUGACAGAUUAUUACUAUGUGCACAAUUGUUCCAUCUCAUUAAUGAUUAUCUGCUACUACUGCGCUCCAUCACUUCCACUUUUCUUCGUAUGUUUUUUCAAUACAAUUUAACUGGUUCUCCUAGCUACUAUUCUAUUCGUGUAGAUUGGGCCACCUGAAGCUUAAAAUAGAGAAAAUGGCCAUGGGCUCUGCCAAGUAAGAGGUUUUCUAUCUUGAGAUACCUUAGAGAACGAUCGAGCAGUAAUUCCCAUAUAGAGGCAACGAGCAUCCCCCUUGCGUCGGUGCACUGCAUGACUACACCAUAGCACUCUUCUUAACCUGCGACAGCCUCUCUAUUAUGGGCAUAAGGGUCUGAUUACAGAACAUCAAGGUUUGACUAAUGUACCCAUUUGAUCUAAAAUUAGGUUCUAAGGGUUAUCAAAUUGUCAGAGAUUUAAGCCCAACGAUAAUAAGCAUUUGGAGCUUCAAAUAUGACAUUUAUUUCUUGAAAUAUCUACAAUGGAUGUUAAGCUUGGUGCAGGGCUCGGGACUAAUUCUAAUGGAUGUUAAGCUUGGUGGAUAGGCAUGGCAAACAGAGGUUGUUGGAUGUUAACUGGUAAUCACAACGUAUUAGUAUUGAUAACAUUCUACUGUUUUUUCUAGAUUCGAAGUAGUACAUUUUUGGGUAGACCUUUGUCUCCAAUGUAAUCAAUUUGCAUUCAGUGCGGUUGUGUUCCAUCUGAUAGGCUGCCUGCACGUGCAAUAAUUUGAUUAAGUACAUAACUGUAUUUGAUGCAUUUUUUAGGUAGAGAGUCUAUUAAUGGACGUAACAUCUACUGAAGACGAGAUUAAUAGAUGGAAGAUCUAAGAAAGAGAUGAUACUGAAGGCAAACUAUUUGGCAAAAUUAUGCAAAAAUGUACAAUUACACGGCAUAUGGCUCAUACUAUCAUAUAGUCAUAUUAUCUGGACCAUUGGAUGGACAUAUCUGGUAGUUGUGUGGCAUUGAAUGUGGCUAUAUACGAGCUGUGGAAAAUAGAGUAUUUGCGGGUGAAGCGUACAGCGUGGGUCGUGGGGCAGGCUAUACGUAGACACACGACCGUAUGCCUGACAGUGCCCUGGCCCGCAUGCAGGUAACGCCCGUGACUAUACCUGGACCGCUGGUCCUUGUCUCGAGGUAUAUCUGGACUAUAGUCCAGAAUUUUUUCCUUUUGCCACGUAGUCAGUCUCUUUUUUCUGCGCGUGGCCAGUCUCGUACCCUCAAAUCCCCUCCCCCCUGAAUUUCAGAAUUUCAGAAUUUAAUGUGUAGCGGCUCGGCGGCGACUGAGAGGAUUCGAUUCGGCAUCGGCACCGUAGCCAGCGGGGCGAUGGGAGGGAUCGAUGAUUUCCCUGUGGAUCCGGUGUUGCUGAUCUUCCAAGAGGCGCCGCGUGGGAGCGCGGUUGGGAGCAGGGGAGGAGAUGUGUGCUGCGGGAUUCAUCUGUGGCUCCGCACAACAACGGCGUGGAGUACGACGGCGAUGGGAGCAUGGAGAAUGGCCCAGCGGAGUCGGGGGAGUCGGCCGUCAAGCCGGCUCCACGGUCGCCGGACUGGAUUAAGAGAGUUCAUGCGGGCACUAUUCCUACAUAAAGAACACCCUGUCUGGGAAGGAUGGGGGCCCUCAAAAUAUCUAAAGGGGCUUUGCGGAGCGAGAUAGAGAAGAGGUUGUCAAGCCAUAGUUAUGCACCACAUUUGACAUGUUGACGGAAGCGUACGACUUCUACAAUCUAUACUCAUGGGAACUUGGUUUCGGUAUAACGUAUGGCAAAAGCCGACUGAAUCCAGGCAAGCAGAAGACAAAUGCAAGAGAUAGUCUGUGGUUGCUCAGUAAGGAUGCAGAACUGAAAUGAAUUUAGACAAGAAAUACAGGCGAUAAAGAGCACACUGUCAGAUACAGUCCACCGGUGAUUUAAGUGGUACAUCUUGAAGGCUAUAGAAAGUUUGGGGGUUCUGCACGGGAAUAGAAAAUGAAUUUAGACAUGAGUUUCAUAAAGUCAUAAACCAUAUGCUCACAGUGGACGAGAUCGAUCGAGGAAGCGUGGUCUCAGCUACUGGAGAAGUACGACCUGAAGGCACACUCGUACAUGACGCAGAUUUUCGGGAUAAGGGAGAAGUGGGCGAAGUCAUAUUUCAAGGGAAUUUUCUGUGUGAAGAUGACAAGUACCCAGAGGAGUGAGAGUGUGAACCAUAUGCUGAAGAAAUAUGUGCCCUCCGGCUCUCCGAUGCAUAAGUUUGUUAGGCAGUACAUGCGGUUGCAGUUUAAUCGUCAAUCAGAUGAGAGUUAUGAAGAGAAGAAAACUAAAAUCGUAAGUGCAGCUUCAUUGAGAAAGAAACGGUAGAGACAUGAGAAGUGGAGCUAGGUGGUUUUCCUAGUAAAAAUGACCGGUAAUGGUUCAGAGUUUGGGUGAGAAUGCGGGCUUUUUGAGCACAUAGGCAUGGUGUCUUGUCAUAUACUUCAGGUGAUGGAUUCCUUGGCAUGACAAAGGUGUCGGAUAAGCACAUUGUGAGAAGGCGGACCAAUGAUGGUCGAGACAUACUGCCAGAGCACUUGCAUCACUACCAGUGCGAUCAGCUUGGUGCCACGCCCCUGACUUUUCGUCAUAAUCGGAUGUAUGUGCAGGCAUUAGAGUUGAUCCGAUUGGGAGAUGCCAGUGUGGAAGCUUAACACUGAUGGGACUCAUCAAUAAAGCUAUGAAGGUGAUGGCUCCUUUCGACCAGGCGAGGAAUGGGCUGGGACAGGAGGAUCGUGUCAGUGGCAAGAAGCAAGGCAAUGUCGAUGAAAAAGAAACCAAGGCUGGCGAGGAUGAGUAUGUUGUGCUGCCGGGGCAUAGCAAUCUUUUGGUUGGCCUGGGAGUGCCAUCAAAGAAGAAAAGUGCAGGGAGGCCGACAAACGCAAGAGGCCAGGCACCUUACGAAGGAUUGAGUAAGAGUAGAUUCUGUAGCAUCUGCAAAAUUCAAGGCCACAAACGAACAACUUGCCCGCAGAGAGGAGACGUUCCCAAAGUUUAGAGGAAAGAAGCAAAACUGCAGCAAGUGUGGUGUCACUGGCCAUCAGAAGAACACCUGCGACAGGCCAGCGGGAAAAGUUGUUCAGGGUGUACUGUUGUACUAGCAAUUAGGACCAAAAGUGGUUGUAGAAUGCACAUGUUGUGCGUGUGAUGUGAACGUUAAUGAAAUACUAUCAUGGUGAUAAGAUAACUAAAUCUGUUACAUCUGUUGUGGUAAAUACAAAUUUUGAAAUGCAUAAGCAAGUAGGGGGGCA